ACAUGAUGAUAUACCAGCUGGCACCAGUCAUAGGGUUACUUGUACUCCCUCCUUUGAUGACCAAAAUGCUGUAGUCUCAGACCCAACUCUGAU
rnacentral:snoRNA from 1 species